rnacentral:rRNA from 1 species
UACGAAGGGUGCAAGCGUUACUCGGAAUUACUGGGCGUAAAGCGUGCGCAGGCGGUUUGUUAAGUCCGCUGUGAAAGCCCCGGGCUCAACCUGGGAAUGGCAGUGGAAACUAAGCGAGCUAGAGUGUGUCAGAGGGGGGUGGAAUUCCAGCGUGUAGCAGGUGAAAUGCGUAGAGAAUGUGGAGGAACACCAAUGGCGAAGGCAGCCC